AGGAAGCCCCGGCUAACUACGUGCCAGCAGCCGCGGUAAUACGUAGGGGGCGAGCGUUGCUCGGAAUUACUGGGCGUAAAGGGUGUGUAGGUGGCUGAUCAAGUCAAAGAUGAAAUCCCGAGGCUCAACUUCGGAAUUGUCUUUGAAACUGGUCGGCUUGAGGCUAGUUGAGGAGAGCGGAAUUCCCGGUGGAGCGGUGAAAUGCGUAGAUAUCGGGAGGAACACCUGAGGCGUAGGCGGUUCUCUAAACUUGUCCUGUCACUGAGACACGAAAGCUAGGGGAGCAAACGGGAUUAGAUACCCCGGUAGUCCUAGCCGUAAACGAUGGACGCUAGAUGUACCUGCGUUCAUGCAGGUGUGUCGAAGCUAACGCG
rnacentral:rRNA from 1 species